CGGUGCUCUCGAUCUCCUGCAAGAUCCGCUCGUGCUCCGGGACGGUGCCCAGACCCUCGCCAUUCUCCGCCAUCUUGGCUGGAAGCUGAGGAGCCGGAAUCAACAUGUGACUGAUCUGAGUACACACUGGCUUAGAAGAUCAAGGAAGCUCUGCUACAUCCAACUGCCCAUUCUGCCAAGAAACACCAUCAGAAGCCUAUUUCCACUGUCUCAAUGGUACAGAAGAAUCCAGAUCUUCUCUGGGAAAUCACACUUUCUCAAGAUGUAAAAAUAUGCCAAAGGAAAAAAAAAGUCUUCCUGAGGCCACCAGCACUGUCACACUAUGUUAAAGACCUGACGUUCAGAGAUGACUUUUUUUUUUUUUUUAAUUUUGCAAUUUUGUAUAGUUCCCCCUUGGAGUUCUGCAUGUGGCUGAGAGAAAGGGGUUUUGAAACCAGACAAUGCUGAAGAUCAGAAGCCACUGGAAAGAAUUCAGGAUGAGUUAGAAAGGAGCAUUCCAAACAGUUCUGAGCAUAAGGCAAGAAUUUGAUUAAUCUGUGAUUGGUAACAAUUUGGAAUUAGAAUAAUAGCAAAUCGUAAAAAGUUUUUUCAAACUUACUGUUUAUAUACUGGCAUUAAACACAGCAUUUUAUAUAGUUGUAUUCAGUUGUCUUAAUAGAAAUCUCUAGUAUUAACAGCAAAUGUGUACCUCAAAUUCCAUGAUGCCACUUUUAUCAAGAGCCUCAAUGCAAGAAACAAUAUUUAUGGACUUUUGUCAGAGGAUAUAAACUUCAUCCAUUCCUCUGGUUAUUUAAAAUUUUAUCUGUGAGUCAAGCCAAGUCCCUGUACCUAGACCCCACUGUUUGGGCCCUUCAUGCCAUUGUUUUUAUUGAGUUCUAAAAAACUGAAUAUUUUUCUUAGCUGACUGUGUCUCCAAGUAUCAACAACCACAAUCUGGUGUUAGUACAUCUGAAUUUCAGGUUCAGCUCUUGAGAAGGGAAAAUAAACCUUUUGAAAAUUGAACCUGAAACCAAAACAUAUGAAAUGAAGACAACAUUUGUAUCUUCCUACAAAGAGAAUGCAAAGCCAUUUCUCCCUGCAGGAAAUGGCAGACUCUUAGCUCAGUCAAUGUGCAGAAUUCAUUGUUCUGAAGAGUAAAGCAAGGUGAAGAGAGCAGGGCAAGUGGUAUAGGCCACCCUCUUAUUUGGCAGCUGUCUCCUAAUGGAGCGUUCCUUUCCUGAGCAUUCAUUAGCCAAGACUUUUUCCGCUUCUCUUCACCAAUCCUGACACCAUCUACCCAGACCCAGACCCUGUUCUGGGAAGCCAGUCCUGCUUUGCUACUCCUCACUCCAGGCCUAUUUCAACACCUGCCCAUAGAGAUUACUUCAACAUAAGCAGCGGCAUCUUCCCCUCAAGUCAAGUCAAGACAGAAGGAAGUCCUUAUUACCACUUCUCCUUCCGAAGCAGCUUUUGCUGGUUCCCUUUAUGACUGCUGACAUUUCCGUUAGCACCUGAAAUUUUUUGCUAAGAACUUAAAGCUAAAUGUUCUAAAUAACUAUGUAAAUUCAAAUUUUAGACAUAGAUAUAACAAAUGUAUAAAUGUGCAAAAAAAAGCCUAUUAUAAUUCUAUUCUAAGUGAUACAUUUCUAAAAGACCAAAAUAAAAACCAUAGUAGCUAUA